AGAUUGCAAGCCUAAUCUUAUAUGUGAUCGUAUUUUUCGUCUUCAAUAAGGAAACUUCUAGUUCACAGGUUGACAUUAAGAAUCAGUACCAAUUGAUGGUUUAUAUUUCGAUUUUCAUUGGAGCAGUCUUCGUGAUUAUAUUUCAGCUUGGAACUAAAGAACCGAGUUUAAAACAAGAAUCUAAUGGGAAACGUGCUACAGCUUCGUGGACAUACUGGUUGAAGAAAGUCCUAUAUUACCAAGUACUUAGCAUCUAUGUGUUAA